rnacentral:rRNA from 1 species
UACGAAGGGAGCUAGCGUUGUUCGGAAUUACUGGGCGUAAAGGGCGCGUAGGCGGGUUUCCAAGUCGGGGGUGAAAUUCCAGGGCUCAACCCUGGGACGGCCUUCGAUACUGGGAGCCUGGAGAUCGGGAGAGGUGAGUGGAAUUCCGAGUGUAGAGGUGAAAUUCGUAGAUAUUCGGAGGAACACCGGUGGCGAAGGCGGGUCUCUGGGCAGAAACUGACGCUGAGGAGCGAAAGCGUGGGGAGCGAACAGG